GACCCACUAGCUCAGUCGGUAGAGCACCUGACUUUUAAUCAGGGUGUCGUUGGUUCGAGUCCAACGUGGGUCACCA
rnacentral:tRNA from 1 species